rnacentral:lncRNA from 1 species
GGAUAGAAAAUAUAGGCAAUGCGGAAACAUAUGUUAUGGAUAAAAAUUUAUUAAAAAACAAAGUGGUUGGCCAGAAACAUUUUGACAAAAUAUAUAUUGCAGUAAGUAAUAAGCGAAAGAGACUUUUAAAAUCAGCUGUACCAAUUUCAUGGAAAGGUAUUAUUUUUGAUAUUUUACUGUUUCCUUCCAAAUUAGUGUUAUAAAUUUACUCUAAAUUAUAGAACCGGCCUCUAGAAACACAAUUUCUUUGCCUGAUACCUCAUGUAACGCUCAAAGCCUUGAGAGUUUAGAUGCAAAAGUUUCAUCAAUAAAUUGGGAAAAUGAUACAAUUGAUACAAAUGUAUUGCCUGGCACGCAUAUUCAAGUUGAUAUUUUGCAGCAUAGUCCAAAAAAUGGUAAGUGUUUGGUAAAUUUUUCCAAAUUUGCUUUUGUUUGCAAUAAAAUCUAAAUAAGAAAUGAAUUACUUGAAUUUUAAGGAGAUAUAUUUUCUUUAAAAAUUAGUAAAAUUGGUAACACUUGAUCUAUUCUGGUCUUUGAAUAGAUCAAGCAUAUGUCAACGAGUAAGCAUAUGUGAGAAUGAUCAACCAUAAACCAUAUGUUUCUAAAUAAAGGAAGUUAAAAUUUUCUUUUAAACUUUAGUGUUUUUAAAGAAUUUGAAUAUUCUUUAGCAAUUGUCCAAAAAUAAUUCUACACCUGUUAUUUUUAGUGAUAUAGAACAAAUUUAGCUUUAACUGGCUGGUUGUAAUAUAAUGAUACAACUUAAGAGAGAGGUAUAUAAUAUUUAAUAGGGAUGAUUCCAACUACUCACUAGAAAUUACCUCGUUGAAAAAGGGUUAUUCAAAACUGCAAGUGGCCAACAUGGCGUCGACAAGAAGAAACAAAGUUGAUUAUGACUCUCUAAAGAAGGAACGUCGUAUUUAAAAGUUAAAGAUGUUAACUUGUAAAUGAGAGAAAGUGUUUACAACAAUGUAUAAAUGAUUUUAUUUUAUAUUUUCAAAUAACGCCAGAAAAAAAUAAAAAAACAUUUUGGCAAAUUUCACCUUUUUCCUGAAUAUUAGGAAGUAUUUGGCAUUUUUCUAAUUUUUAGAUUGCAUUUAUUCAAUCAUUGCAUUUAUAUUGCGCAACUUUUGCCUAAUUAAAUAUUUACUGCUCAUCCUUAUUUUGGACAUCCUGUAUAAUCGCGAUGAGACCCUUCAUACUGUUAAACAAAAUAUUUGUUUUUUUUUCUUAUUAACUUUUUCUAGUUUUAAGAAUUAGUAAUUAAGUGUUUGCCUGUAUUGCAAAUUAAAAUGUGGCCUAUUUUCUAUAUUUCAUAGUGUUGUUACACCCUUAUUGAAAACCUUUUAAAUUUUGGGAUUUUAUUUUUAUAUUAAUUUCAGUUAAAGGUAUCUAUUUUUCAAUAUUUUUGUCCAAAAAAAGUGUACUUCACAGAUCUCACUAUCCUACACAGUUUUUGAGAUAUUGGCUGGUUUCACAAGCCCGUAUUGUCAAAAAUCACAUUACGGGCUACUUUUUGCAAAAAAUUAUUGACUCUAAAAAACUAUAGUACCGUAUAUAGAUAUUAAAUCUUUAAUUAUUUAAUUUACUCUUUAUAUUUACGUGAAACCUACCUAUAUCAUCACCUUUAUUUAAUAUUUUUGUUAAUUUUCUAAUUAAUAAAUAAAAGCUUACUGAAUU